UUUUAAUGAGCGGCAGCUGCAAACUUUUUCCAAAUUAGUACCAGGUCAAGAAUUCUUAACUUUACUAUAAAUGGAAAAGAUUCCUCUGCUUCCUCAGCUAAUAGUUUAUCACCUUAAAAACACAUCUUAAUAGCAAUAAAAAAAUACCAACAUGCCCAUGUAUCUUUUGUGCCACUUUUUUGAUAAUCUUAAAUACCACUCUUUGCUUACUACAUUUCAUCACUUCUAAGCUCCAACUUUGAUAAAUUGUUAUGGUUUCUCGUUUUGGAGCCCUCCAAGUACUCACUCUUUUCAUAACAUGCUCUUUGGUUGUGCAACACUUUGUUGUUUUUGCAGCAUCAAGGCCACUCAAAAUAUGUGCUCCACCAAAGGACCUCGACGAAAAGAUGGCUAGCGGACAACACACUGCAAGAAAAACGGCUAAUUCCGUCCUGAAUCGUUACAAGAAAUUGGAGGAUGCUUUUAGGCCAACUUCACCGGGGCAUAGCCCCGGAAUAGGCCAUCCUCCUUGACAUAAAAAUUUUGGUUUUGGUUUCAUAGGUAUGUUGGUAAGUGACCAUAAGGUCAUUUGUGUUUUUCCAAGUGAUGGUUUUACAUGGUGUGAUGUAAUUAUGGAGAAACAUGAGCUCUUUUUGGAGCUUGCACUCUGUAUUUAUGUGAGCUUGAGUUGAGACUACUGGAAUAGCUAGAGUUGUCCAACUCUUUUCUUCUCUCUUAAUUUUUGCUUUGGUUUCAUGUAGAUAUAGAUUGAGGAUGAUGGCAGUGCAUGUGGUAGUAAUGAAUUUGUUUUCGAUUCUAGUGAUCAAUAAUUCCACUCCUAUAGUUUUUAUAUAUUAAAUCUUAAUAU
rnacentral:lncRNA from 1 species